rnacentral:piRNA from 1 species
UAGUGCUAUCUCCUUGAGGUUACCGAUUUAAAAGUUUAAAUAAUUAUAUAUAUAUAUUUAAUUAUAUAUAUUUAAAUACUAUAUUAUAUACCGUAUAUAUAUAGUAUAUAUUAUAUACCGUAUAUAUAAUUGUGCAAGACGAUAUAUAUGAUAUAUAAAAAUCAAAAGAAAUAAUGAGUAUCGUUUAAAUAUAAAAUUCGAAUAAAUAUAAAUGCGAUACUAAAAAUUAAAUUUCUAUUCAAUGAAUUAAAUUAAAAAAGUUUAAAUAAUUGUGCAAAACGAUAUAUAUGAUAUAUAAAAAUCAAAAGAAAUAAUGAGUAUCGUUUAAAUAUAAAAUUCGAAUAAAUAUAAAUGCGAUAAUCGUUUAACAUAAUUUGAGUAUUUUUUCAAGGGACCGGGAAAAAAUGUUCACUAGAUAAAACGAUGAUUUUGGAAUGUAGAAAAUCAGGAAAGACAAAAUUCAGGAUGACACGGCACACAGGGACCGGGAAAAAAUGUUCACUUUAUCGAGAGAUUCAAAUUUACGAGUUCCAAAUUAUCAAAAUAUAUCUUUUUUUUUUAAAUAAGUUUAUUGAGAAUUGUUUUAACAAAUGUUCGUUAGACAAACCUUUACUCGGGUAAAACCUCGGGCGAAGCCGGGUACAUCCGCUAGUUAUAUAUAAAACGUAGUUUCGGGAGAUAGUAUUCAUGCACCAAGAGAGGUACUACUUAAAAAAAAAACACGAUGAAGCAAAAUACAAUGGUAUAAUACUUUUUAAAGGUACAUAUAUAUAUGGCACGCUAACGCCAUAUGUCUAUAGUAUUAGUUGAACAUCUAUAACUUCUAUAACUCACCAUCUUCCUCUGUGGUUUUAAGAAGUUAGAAUUCGGAACACUUCUUCUUUUGUAGCAAGGCAUUGGGUGUGAGUUGAAGGAAGUUUUGAGCUAUUUUCUUCACAUUAGCUCUGGCUUUGAUACUACUUUGGGGUUCUAAAGUCCGGAAGUAAAUCAGAGGCUAUCGUUGUAAAAUAAAAAAGAAGAAUACGCAAAUAUACACCGUGUUUUUUAUGUCUCCAUUAAGACUAUAUAUAGCUAAAGGCCAAUUUUCUUGUUGAAACCUUUUUCUUCUUUCUUGGACUCUGUGACGAGUCUAUGUAUAAGACGAUAUACCGUAAUAAAAUGCAUCUGUUGUUAUUGAUAUAAGUUUGAGGUUUAAAUUGAUUUGCUUUUCUGAAAGUUAGAUUAUGUUUAUAUGCAACCUUUCAAAUUUGAAGGAAUUUCUGUCGAACAAAGUCGAAUAUAAUUUGACUUUAAUAUAACCCUGGAGUUUGGAUUGAUAGACUGCUCUGUUUGGUUAGUCAUAUUGGUAGAACUAGGGAAUAUAAAUUUAAACAUGAGUGGUCACUAUUGUGAUAUAUAACUUUCGUCCUCGUCAGCCAGGUCUGGGUGAAGACAACUUCGUAUUUGGAUAUUCUCUGAUGAAGGUCUCAUUUAUAUUGUUCCCAAUUUGAUACCACCACUCUGGAGAGUUAAUUCUGAUUGAAAUCAGGUUAGGAUUUUUAAAACGUUAUGAAAGAUUUGAUAGUGUUUAUAAAGGUUGAUUUUUUCGAAAGUUUCUAUACUUAUUGGUCAUGUAGUGGGGCCUUAUACUUGGAACACUGUGAGUGAUCAGAUAUCAGUUUUAUAUGAAAUUUAAUUUAUAGCUUUGGUUUGAAUCAGUAGGGAGGCGAAUGCUGGGUUCUGGUUAUAAAUAAUUUUGAAUUUAGAAAAGUGAAGGAUAAAUCACGUACAUCGCGCUGUAGUUAGGUUUUAUUUGUUUAGAGCAGCUUCAUAUUUGAUGAAUUGGGAAACCUCACUCUUGAUAUUGAAGAGCAGGUUUAGUUUGAACAAAGUCGGAUUUAUGAUAUAUAGCCAUAUUUGGAAUAAUAUAAAUUCAAUUUUCUACAUAUUUCUUCAUAAAAGCUGUAACAAACGUCAACGAAAGCAAAUAUAUAUUAAAACUAGCCGAGUGACCCGGGCAACGCCCAGGGUUUACCCAAAGGGCCUGCAGAGACUUUAAAAGUAUAGAUGGUGGCUUAAAAAUCGCAAUGGGUAUAUUCCGAUUUCCUAGAAGCAGCAUUUCAAGUAAGGAUAAGUAAAAAUACUUUCUAAGUAUAAAUUCGCUAAUCCGACCAUGUUUUGAUUUCCAGAACCUAUGAAAUUACAAACAGUAAUUCGACAAUACCGAUAAUUCGACACCUUGCGAUAAUUCGACCUUGAUUUGAUUUCCCAAUCUCUGGCCUAUCAAAUAAAAAACGGUAAUUCGACAAUAUUAAUUUUUCACCACUUCUGAUAAUUCAACCAUUUUAAAAUGCAAAUUUCGACGAUUGAUGUUCACUUACAACUUUACUAAUAAAAAGGUAUUAUAGAUGCGAGCAACGAAACAUUUUGAACCCAUAUAACGCAAAUUCAUAUCCUCACUUAUAGGGUGUCAAGCCUAAAGGAAGCGAAUUCAUGUCCCUGAUUUCUAAAAAUGAACAUAAAAUUGUAGGCUACCAACGCGAAUUCGCGUCUACUGGGAUCUUUUCCCAUACCUUCUUGCCUAUUUAUCAGUGGGUUGGGUUGGGGGGGGGAUGUCAGCUGUCCCAAUGUACCUGUAAAAUGUCACAUGCGACCGAGUUCAAGCAGCCAUUAUUUUUAUUUAUUUCAAGCUAUAUAGAUUACAUUAAAAGAAAAUAGCAUUUCUUAAACAUGUUUUUAUAUGAACAACUCGAUUUUCAUACGGCCCACUGGACCAUGUAACUCUGGAAUCAUAAGUGCAAAAACAGACAUCCCUAAAGGAUUUCUUUAAAAUAUCUUCAUGAUUCUUUUUUAAUAAUAUUCUUAAACAUUUUUAAUUUUUUUUCAUAUUUAUUUACUUUUCAAUAUAGAAAAUAAGAUAGCAUAAAAGGGAUAAAUUCAUUUAAUGGACCUCACUAAAAACUGCAUUUCUAGCCGAGUGACCUGGACAAAGCCCCAGGUUUACCCUAAAGGCCUGUGAAUGGGCAGGAUAACCAUAUGUGUGCCAUUGCAAAGAUCCUAAAUCAAUGUAUAGAGCACUGGGGAAAAUAGGUAAAGACCAAAAGUCAAAAUAAAAAUAAAUAUUUUACUAAUGAACAAAUAAUACAAAAAAUUGCUUUCAGGUGAGAAACUAUAGGCAUUGGUGAAAACUUUAAACAAUUAUAUUGAAAAAAAAAGAAAACAAAUAUUAAAAGAAAAUUCAAUACAACACAAUUAUAUAGCAAAUACAGCCAUUAUUUCUAGCCGAGUGACCCGGCAACGCCCCGGGUUUAGCCUAAAAACAUGUGAAGCGCUAGAUAACCAUAUGUGAGCCAUUGCAAAGAUCCUGAAUCAAUGUAUAGAGCACUGGGGAAAAUAGGUAAAUAAAGACUAAAAAUCAAAAUACUUAAUUAUAAAUAUUUUAUUAGUGAACAACUAAUAAUAAAAAAUCCUUUCAGAUGAGAAACUAUAGGCAUUGGUGAAACUUUAAACAAAUUUUUUGGAAAUGAAACAAAAAUUAAAAGAAAACAAAUCUUAAAAGAAAAUUAAAUACAACACAACAAUAUACCAAAUUAGACAACAUAAAAGGCAUACAUUCAUUUAUUUGAAAUGCAAAAAAAAAUUAAAAGAAAACAAAUCUGAAAAUAAAAUUGAAUACAACACAACUAUAUAGCAGAUAAGACAACAUAAAAAGGAUAAAUACAUUUAAAGGACCUCAUUAAAAACUACAUUUCUAGUUUUAUAAAUACGUGGGUUCAACUUUACCCGUAUGCUAUUCAAAGUUCGCACACGUGAAAAAGCCACAUAGAGCUGUCCAUGAGUAAACACGGGCUCUUGUAGCAAGAGACCCACUCUAGCAAAGGUUUGGCCUUGAGCCUUAUUAAUAGUCAUGGCAAAAGCCAACCUUAGUGGAAACUGACGCCUCUUCAGAAUGAAGGGAAGGUUGGUAUCUGAAGGAGCCAAAGAUAUUUUUGGCACCAAUACAGUUUGUCCAACUUUGGUCCCUGUCAGUAUUUGUGCUUCUAGGACAUGAGAGCGCAUGCGCUGGAUAACCAUACGUGUGCCAUUGCAGAGACCCUGCUUAGGAUUCAAAUUUCUAAGGAGCAUAACAAUAGCACCAAUCUUAAGGUUUAACCGGUGUGGAGGCAUUCCUGUGGGAGUAAGGCUAUUAAGGAAUUCAGUAGGGUAGUUAUUUUGUUCCUCCACAUUCUCACACUCGACACUGUCAACACUGAGAAAACACUGACUCCUGUUUGGUAAGCGAUCCAAAACUUUUUCAUUAAUCUCUAAUGAAUCUGUGUUUUUUGGCGUUAAAAUCACAGACUGACUAAGGGCGGUAAUAUCACCAUAGGAAGAACCAAAUAUUUCCUGCACCAGGUCAACCCCAUGAAAGAUACAGCUUUCUGGAAGAGAAAUGAGGCCCUGUUGGUCUGUAGGUAGAUCACCAUCACCAACUUUAAGUAACCAUUGAGAGAAGCUCUGUGCAUCAAUACCUGCUCGCAUAUUCUGAGUAAGGCGCAAGAUCACAAACAAUGGUCAUAGCUUGCUUUGCUUAAUGCAAGCAGCAACAAUUUCAGCUCUUGAAGCUCGAGGUACCACAGGUAGCACUUGGCGAAAGUCACCUCCAAGAACAACAACCUUUCCGCCAAAAGCAAGGUCACAAUGAAUAAUGUCCUUUAGGAGACGACCACAAUUUCAAGUGCUCUGUAGUGGGCCAUAGGAGCCUCAUCCCAAAUAAUUAAGGAUGAUCUACGAAUAAGCUCAGCCUCAGAACUAUUGGCCGAGAUCGCAGCUACAGAAUUCUCAAGCAAGGGAAUCGGCAGCUUAAACCUGGAAUGGACAGUCUGGCCACCUGACAAAAGGGUAGCCGCUAUUCCAGUGGAGGCCAGCGGAAUGACAAUUUUUCCAACGGCUCGAACACAAUGAAUUAGGGUGUUAUAAACAUAAGUCUUGCCCGUACCACCAGGCCCAUCAAUAAAAAAGCAACGUGUAUUUACAUUGAGGGAAUCAACAAUUGUGUCAACAAUUGACUUUUGAUCUGGUGUAAGGGACCUAUACAUUUCUGUCCCAAUUUGCAGCUCUGCAUUAACAUCAAGGUGAUCCUCUCCUGAAUCAAGAAGUGGGAUUAGGGGUGAAGGAAGUCCAUAAUGGUGGCAACUGAGGCGAUUUUCUCUCAGCUGGAAUUCAAGCUCUCUGAGAGUCAUCUGUUCAGCAGCUGCGUCAGAUGUUGCACGAGAAAAGUCCUCACUAAGAUACCCCUUGUAUUUGGUCCACAGUGAUACAGGGUCGGUAGGAUUAUUGUAGAUGAGAAUUGUCGCAAAGAGCUGCCGCAGUUGACAAGGCAUUUGGAACAAAGCCGCCUCAGCUAAGCAUGCAUCCCAUUCAGAAUCAUCAGCCAAUAAUCCACGGCGCUGGGCAGCCUCUUUAAAAGUGGAGCAAACAAUAUCAUCCACAGUUCGCAAAUCUUCAAAACUCUGAGCACCUGCAACAUGUAAUAGUAGAAGCCGGAGGUGGUAACGCUCAGAAUCUUUAGGAUUCACUGAACACAUACGUCCAAUGCACAAAGCCCCACCCCGAACUCUAGCACUCCAUUGAUUCUGCCUGAAAACAUAAGCGGAAGGUAUGUCUCCAUAUAAAAGUGAUCUUGCGGAUACAUUAACACAAUUGAGCUGAAACCAGGCAGUCAGAGUUGUGCGUCUGCGUGAGGCAUUUUCAAGAGCCUGUUCUUCACUACCUUCAACAAAAUAUACAGAUUGAAAAUUAGGUAGAUGAACAGCUAAGCGACAUAUGGUAUGCGAGUGAGCAUGCAAGCGAUAUUCAAACAUGCGCCACAUUGCCUCAGGAGCACUUACAUACCGAGCGUCAAGAAAGUUUUUGAUUUCAUCAUGUGCCCUGCCUUCCAUAUCUAAUUCUCCAACAGACACUUCCACCUCAGCCCUGUCGUGUCCCUUAUAUACAUACUUGAAAAGAUAUUUGACACUUUUCACAGAGGCACAGACCUCCACAUUAAUGUGAGCAUUGAACCUAACCAGCAGAUAGGGGUUAUAGGGAACAACCCAGCGGUUAUCCACCUCGUGAGUGCCCACAACUAAUGUCUGGCCGUCAUCUCGACGUCUGUAGCGAGGAUAGCCAUUAUUGUUAGCCUCAGUCAGCUGCAGGAAUGAUUUAGGGAAGUCUUUAGUACACUUGCCAUCAGACAUGCAUGGUGAGUGAAGAUUGAAGUUUCCACAAGGACCAUGGUUCAUAUGUUUACGAACCAUGUCAUACAGCUGAACCUGCAUAGUAGGGCUAGGAAUUUCUGCACAAACCAAUCUAUCAAUGGCAUCCCUGUUUCUAGGCUUGUCUUCUUCUCUAAGCAUAAACAGCAUGUGGGCAUGCGGUAAACCGCGUUUUUGGAACUUAACAACAUGCACCCGAGCAAUGACCACUCCCAAUACAUGCUGACUAACAAUCUCGCGCAGUAAUUGUUGUAACUUGAGAUUGAAUACUCUAGCCACCAGAUCCGGUCUAUCAGAAGGAUUCUGGUUAGGAAGAAGAUUUUCAACAAUGUCAGUCCAACGUGGGUUACAGGUAAAUGUCACGAAUAGGUCAGGUCUUCCAAACUUUCUAACAAUGGCCAUCGCAUCCUGAUAGUUUUGUUGCAUGGCCCGGGAACUCCCAGGAAAGGAAGAUGGAAGAAUAAAAAUACGGCCUAUUCGCACACCCCGAGAAUGUUCCUGUUCAUGGAUAUAAUCCAUCAGACUUUGAUAUAACUCCACCCUAAGCAGGGACUGAUUUUGGCGAAUAUAGUUCAGCCGAUUGCCCUCUGUUUUAACAUAGGCAUCAACAACAUAUUGCUGAAAUAGUCUCCUGCCAUAGUGAAUGGGCGAAAAGCCAGGUCUGAUGGCCAACCUAUAACUAUAGAACUGAAGCAUGGUAACAUGGUUUCUAGUUCUUGUGCGCAUGUUUUCUUCAUGUAAGAUUCCUAUUGUUCAACCAGGAUCACCGGCAGGAAAUAAAAGAGGGUAUGUCAUUGGGUCACAGUUAGGAUUAAGUGGAGAAAUACGCACUAAACCACGAUCAUGCGGAAAAACAGCAAUAUCUCUGUUCGAAGGUACAUUGCCAUCUUGAUCAACAAAAAUGGCCGCAACUUCACUUACACUUGGCGCAUUAUAUCGGCGAAGAUCUCUACAAUGAUUUUGCCGGAUGAGCAUCUGAACCUGACACAUUUGCCGGUUCUCAAUGCGAGCCCGCUUUUCCUCAGCUAGUUCCACCUGGUGCAUCUGCCUGUAAGCGGAAGUAUACGGAUUCACACGCCUAAGCACAGAAUCCAAAAGAGUCAAUAUACCAGGAUGGCAUUCCAAAGGCCUAGAUGCUGCAAUGCGGAUAUUAUUCGCAGCCUCAGAAUCCAAAAUAUAAAGUUGGGCAUAAGACGGGGCUCUGUUUUCAUGAGGAUGAAGGGGCCCAGUCAAAUGAUAGAUCUGUCCAUGGAUUCUAUAACAAAAAGGCCCCUGUCCAGAAAAGACAUCAACCUGCGCACCCAUGGAGGCAAAGGCCAAAGAGCUGUUGUAGCUCCGAAUGUUGGUCUGGAAGUACUUAGUCUCCACACUGUUUGAAGUCAUCAAUUCCAUCAUUUCAUAUGGAAAGGAGGUCAAAGUAGGAAGAAUAACUUUCCCUUUGUGGCAGCAGGAGCUACCAACAGUUUCGCCAGGGAAAUGAAGGGCUGAGCAGUAAGGGCAGACUAUAUCGAGGCCCCCAAUAAUAUAUUCAGUGGGAACAGGAGAAAUAGGAUUAGGGGCGUUGUUCCUGUGGCGAGUCAUAUAAGCGCGCCUGGACUGGAGAGCGAGUCUUACACGGCCUCUGCGAGGCAUGAUACAGAAGCCGCUGAAAAAAAAAAGCUAAACUAAAAACCAAGUAGAGCAAAUACAUUCCAAACACAGCAAAUACAGCCCAACCUAAUUUAAAAAAUGGGAGCUAAAAAUGAAAAUAUUUUAUUUUAAUAUAUAGAUAAUUUAAUUUAAAAGAUCUCAUUAUAAACAACAUUUCUAUUUUAUAUAUACGAGGGCCAUCCAAUAAAUAAGUUUCCCUAUUUUUUAACAAAUAAACCACAUUAUUUACAAUUAUGCAGUUAUUUUAUUUUCAUUAUACAACUCAUAGACUACUUCUCUAAAUAAUCACCAUUUCUGUCCAAACAUUUUUGGUACCGUUGUAGCAAUUUUUUGAUACCACUGUUGUACCAAGCCGUGUCCUGUCUUCGUAGCCAGUGGUUCUCCUCCGCCUGCACUUCGUCAUCAUUCGCAAGGUGCCACUUGAGUGCUGGAAAAAGAUGGAAGUCGCUUGGGGCAAGUUCCGGAGAAUAAGGUGGAUGUGUGAAAAUUUCCCAUUUGAAGUUUUCCAUAGCCAUAACUUUGCCUGCAGAGAUUGUGACCUUCGCCUUUUUUGGUGCACUUUCCUCAGGCUUCUUCCACACCAUGCUUUGUCGUUUUGUUUCUGGAGUUGAAUGAUGCACCCAGCUUUCAUAUCCAGUGACAAUACGGGAAAACAGUUGAUCUCCAUCUCUUUGAUGCAUUUCCAGGAAAGCUCGGGGUGCCUCCAUCCGUUGUUGCUUGUGAUUUUCCAAAAGCAAACGUGGGACCCAUCUUGCGCAGACUUUGCGAAAAUUCAAAAUAUCUGACAUGAUUGUUCCGAUCGAAGAGCGUCCAAUUUCGAUUCCAGGAGGCAGUCGAAUCAUUAUUCCGUCAAUGGUGACGCGGCGAUCUGCUUCCACCACAUUCCGAACAGCUGCAACCGCUGCAUUGUCCGUAGCAGUAACGGGCCUGCCGCUUCGCUCGUCAUCAUGCACGUUUUGCCGUCCUUCUAAGAACCAUGAACGCCAUCGGCGAACCAUUUGGAUGCUCAUACAUUCUUCACCAUACACUGACACUAAAUUGCGAUGAAUAUUGACCGCAGUUUCAUUUUUCGCCGUGAAAAAACGAAUUACAGAACGGAGUUCGCAAGUGGACACGUUCACCAGUGGUAGCUCCAUGGAACCUGAAGCGCUACGGACUUGCGCGUACGAGUAGCGUGAUAUUGAGGUCACCAGCUUCCAACGCAUCCUAGUGACCAUUUCUUCCAUACUAACUAAUUUUUACAACGUUUCGUUUGCAGAAAAAAAAAUAGGGAAACUUAUUUAUUGGAUGGCCCUCGUAUAUACAAUAUUACCUCCUCAACAGAAACCAGACAGCAAUGUCACCAUCAUCAGACAAAAGAAUCAAUGAGAUUUCAUUCUUUAGUUCAUUUAUUCUUUUGUCUGAUGCUGUUGGCGAAACGUCACACACUAUUAAAUUAUUUGGAUUAGGUCUUAUUUUCUUGUAUAAUCUAUAAAUCAAAUUGCGCUUUAUCAUAUAACAAAUUAAGUAAUCAACAAUUGAAUAUACAAAUAAAUCAUUAGCCUCUUAAUGAGAAAAAUAAAGAUGCCAAAGACAUUAUGAAAGAUACUGCAAAAAAGAAUUAUGAAAGAUACUGCAAAAAGGAAAACCAGACACAAAAAUUGAGCAAAAUUUAAAUGAAAAUCUUUUUAUUAAAUCUAAUUAAAUAAAAAUAAAAUGGCCAUGUAAAUCAAAAAGCAUUUUUUUCAGUACUUUAUUUUCAAAAUGCCAUAAAGACAUUGCUGUAAAAAAUAUAUAUUAGAAAUUAGCAAAAGGUAAUAAUAAAAAAGAACGUGUUAAAAAAAUAAACAAUCCGAUGAUGAAAAAUAACAAAUAAUAUAAGAUAAACAACAUUUGAAGGCAAAAGAUCUACGACUGCAAAAGCUAACAAAUUGAAAAUAAAUAAAUCUAUUAAAUCUAAUAAAAUUAAAAUACCAGGUCUAUUAGUAUGAAACGCGAAAAUGGCUGCCAGAGGGCGCUGUGCAACUUUAUUUGAGCCGACGGUGGCGCUGUUGAAGGCAUUUUGUUUUUUGACUCUCAUCGCAUCAGCAUGCGUGGAGUUUUAGAAAAAUUCAAAUCGUGGAAAAUUUCUGGAGCCCGUGGAAAAUAGUGAUUUCCGAGCCAAAAAGUGCCCAUUUGCGGGAAGUUUUGUUGUUCGCCUUCAACUGGAAGAAAAGUGCCACUGAAGCCCACCGAAUGCUCGAGGAAGUUCACGGCGACCACGCUCUGAGCAAAUCGCAGUGUUACAGGUGGUUUAAAAAAUUCCAAAGUGGCGAUUUCGAACUUUAUAAUGAACCACGUGGAAAACCGCACCAACAGUUUGAGGACGCUGAACAGCAAGCUUUGCUGGAUGAGGACAGUACCCAAACGCAGGAGAAACUCGCGAAACAGCUCCAGGUGUCUCAAGGUGCUGUUUCCCUACGUUUAAACAGCCUCAGAAUGGCCCAAAAGCUUUCCAGAUGGGUCCCCCACGAGUUGAGCGAAAGGCAGCAAGAACUGCGUCUGGUAACCUGCGAAGGGCUGCUCGCCAGGCAUGAAAAGAAGUCAUUUUUGCACCGAAUCGUAACUUCUGAUGAGAAAUCGAUCCACUUCAGCAAUCAUAUGCGCCAAAAGUCGUGGGGCCUGCUCGGCCAAUUUCCAAAACAGAAGCCUAGGCCCAAUCGCUUAGGAAAAAAGGCAAUGCUUUGCGUAUGGUGGGACCAGACCGGCGUAGUAUAUUUCAAGCUCCUGAAACCUGGCGAAACGGUCAAUACUAGUCGCUACGAACAACAAAUGCACAGUUUGAGAGAGGCAUUGAAUGAAAUAAGACCGGAAUUGCGUGAAAAGCACAACAAGCUGAUACUGCAGCAUGAGAACGCUCCAGCCCACAACGCUACAGUGGUCAAAAAGACCAUAAAAGACUUGGGCUGGGAACUCUUACCCCACCCGCCGUACUCACCAGACUUAGCGCCGUCGGACUACCACCUUUUCAC